rnacentral:rRNA from 1 species
AUUGAACGCUGGCGGAAUGCUUUACACAUGCAAGUCGAGCGGCAGCGCGGGGCAACCUGGCGGCGAGCGGCGAACGGGUGAGUAAUACAUCGGAACGUACCCAGUUGUGGGGAUAGCCCGGCGAAAGCCGGAUUAAUACCGCAUACGACCUGAGGGUGAAAGGGGGGGAUCGCAAGACCUCUCGCAGUUGGAGCGGCCGAUGGCGGAUUAGCUAGUUGGUGAGGUAAAGGCUCACCAAGGCGACGAUCCGUAGCGGGUCUGAGAGGACGACCCGCCACACUGGAACUGCGACACGGUCCAGACUCCUGCGGGAGGCAGCAGUGGGGAAUUUUGGACAAUGGGGGCAACCCUGAUCCAGCCAUUCCGCGUGAGUGAAGAAGGCCUUCGGGUUGUAAAGCUCUUUCGGCAGGAACGAAACGGUGGAAGCUAAUAUCUUUUACUAAUGACGGUACCUGAAGAAGAAGCACCGGCUAACUACGUGCCAGCAGCCGCCGCCG